rnacentral:rRNA from 1 species
UACGUAGGGUGCGAGCGUUGUCCGGAAUUACUGGGCGUAAAGAGCUCGUAGGUGGUUUGUCGCGUUGUCCGUGAAAACUCACAACUCAAUUGUGGGCGUGCGGGCGAUACGGGCAGACUGGAGUACUGCAGGGGAGACUGAAAUUCCUGGUGUAGCGGUGGAAUGCGCAGAUAUCAGGAGGAACACCGGCGGCGAAGGCAGCACUCUGGGACGUGACUGACGCUGAGACGCGAAAGCGUGGGGAGCAAACAGG